AACGAACGCUGGCGGCAGGCUUAACACAUGCAAGUCGAACGAAGUCUUCGGAUUUAGUGGCAGACGGGUGAGUAACGCGUGGGAAUUUACCUAGUGGUAAGGAAUAACUCAGGGAAACCUGAGCUAAUACCUUAUAAGCCCUUCGGGGGAAAGAUUUAUCGCCAUUAGAUAAGCCCGCGUCGGAUUAGCUUGUUGGUGGGUAACGGCCUACCAAGGCGACGAUCCGUAGCUGGUCUGAGAGGAUGAUCAGCCACACUGGGACUGAGACACGGCCCAGACUCCUACGGGAGGCAGCAGUGGGGAAUAUUGGACAAUGGGCGCAAGCCUGAUCCAGCCAUGCCGCGUGAGUGAAGAAGGCCCUAGGGUUGUAAAACUCUUUCACCGGUGAAGAUAAUGACGGUAGCCGGAGAAGAAGCCCCGGCUAACUCCGUG
rnacentral:rRNA from 1 species